rfam:Danio rerio chromosome 25, GRCz11 reference primary assembly.
GGCCGGUUAGCUCAGCUGGUUAGAGCGUGGUGCUAAUAACGCCAAGGUCGCGGGUUCGAUACCCGUACUGGCCA